GAUGAACGCUGGCGGCGUGCCUAAUACAUGCAAGUCGAGCGAACGGACGAGAAGCUUGCUUUUCUGAUGUUAGCGGCGGACGGGUGAGUAACACGUGGAUAACCUACCUAUAAGACUGGGAUAACUUCGGGAAACCGGAGCUAAUACCGGAUAAUAUUUUGAACCGCAUGGUUCAAAAGUGAAAGACGGUCUUGCUGUCACUUAUAGAUGGAUCCGCGCUGCAUUAGCUAGUUGGUAAGGUAACGGCUUACCAAGGCAACGAUGCAUAGCCGACCUGAGAGGGUGAUCGGCCACACGGGAACGGAGACACGGUCCAGACUACUACGGGAGGCAGCAGUAGGGAAUCUUCCGCAAUGGGCGAAAGCCUGACGGAGCAACGCCGCGUGAGUGAUGAAGGUCUUCGGAUCGUAAAACUCUGUUAUUAGGGAAGAACAAAUGUGUAAGUAACUGUGCACAUCUUGACGGUACCUAAUCAGAAAGCCACGGCUAACUACGUG
rnacentral:rRNA from 1 species